AUGCAAGUCGAACGAGACCUUCGGGUCUAGUGGCGCACGGGUGCGUAACGCGUAGGCAAUCUACCCGAUACAGGGGAAUAACACGGGGAAACUCGUGCUAAUACUGCGUAAUAAAUGAGAAGGCAUCUUCUUAUUUUAAAAGCUUCGGCGGUAUCGGAAGAGCCUGCGUCCUAUUAGCUAGUUGGUAAGGUAACAGCUUACCAAGGCGACGAUAGGUAGGGGAACUGAGAGGUUGAUCCCCCACACUGGUACUGAGAUACGGACCAGACUCCUACGGGAGGCAGCAGUGAGGAAUAUUGGUCAAUGGACGGAAGUCUGAACCAGCCAUGCCGCGUGUCGGAAGACGGCCCUCUGGGUUGUAAACGGCUUUUCUUUGGGAAGAACACGCUCUUGCGAGAGCAACUGACGGUACCAAAGGAAUAAGCACCGGCUAACUACGUGCCAGCAGCCGCGGUAAUACGUAGGGUGCAAGCGUUGUCCGGAUUUAUUGGGUUUAAAGGGUGCGUAGGCGGCUAUUUAAGUCGUGGGUGAAAGCCCGUCGCUUAACGACGGAAUUGCCUGCGAUACUGGAUAGCUUGAGUAUCGUUAAGGUUGGCGGAAUGGGAGGUGUAGCGGUGAAAUGCAUAGAUACCUUCCAGAACACCGAUUGCGUAGGCAGCUGACUAGGCGAUAACUGACGCUGAGGCACGAAAGCGUGGGGAGCGAACAGGAUUAGAUACCCUGGUAGUCCACGCCGUAAA
rnacentral:rRNA from 1 species